rnacentral:pre_miRNA from 2 species
AAACCCAAGUUGGAGUUUCCUUCACUCCAAUUAUUAGAAGAUAUGAUGGUAAACCUCUGCUGCUGGUUCAUGGAUACCUAUGGUUUCGUAACAACAUGUGACGGAACGAAAUCAAGGGUUUGCAUGAAUUAGGAGAUGAGUUACCUUGAUCUUUUCGUAUUGGAGUGAAGGGAUCUCCAAAGGUUAGAUUG